ensembl:miRNA ocu-mir-486 ocu-mir-486
CCCUGUACUGAGCUGCCCUGAGGCCCUUGCCUGCGCCCAGCUCGGGGCGGCUCAGUCCAGGAUG